rnacentral:rRNA from 1 species
CCUACGGGAGGCAGCAGUGGGGAAUAUUGGACAAUGGGGGGAACCCUGAUCCAGCGACGCCGCGUGAGUGAAGAAGUAUUUCGGCAUGUAAAGCUCUAUCAGCAGGGAAGAAAGAAAUGACGGUACCUGACUAAGAAGCCCCGGCUAACUACGUGCCAGCAGCCGCGGUAAUACGUAGGGGGCAAGCGUUAUCCGGAUUUACUGGGGGUAAAGGGAGCGUAGACGGCGAUGCAAGUCUGAAGUGAAAGGCGGGGGCCCAACCCCCGGACUGCUUUGGAAACUGUAUGGCUGGAGUGCAGGAGAGGUAAGUGGAAUUCCUAGUGUAGCGGUGAAAUGCGUAGAUAUUAGGAGGAACACCAGUGGCGAAGGCGGCUUACUGGACUGUAACUGACGUUGAGGCUCGAAAGCGUGGGGAGCAAACAGGAUUAGAUACCCUAGUAGU